GGAGGAGGAGAGGGUGAAGGAAACAUCUGCGGGGGGUGGAGGGGGGUCAGGAUCCAGUCGACAGAAAUAAACUGAACUGACCGAUUACAGUCAAUACAGAACUGCUAGACUAACCUGUACCCCCCCGCCUCACCCUCUCUCUCCCUCCGUCUCAAUCCCCCUCCACUCUCUCACCCCCCCUCAUCUCUCUCUUCCUCUC